rnacentral:rRNA from 1 species
UACGAAGGGGCUAGCGUUGUUCGGAAUUACUGGGCGUAAAGGGCGCGUAGGCGGCGUGUCAAGUCAGGCGUGAAAGCCCCGGGCUCAACCUGGGAACCGCGCUUGAGACUGGCAUGCUCGAGUUCGGGAGAGGAUGGUGGAAUUCCCAGUGUAGAGGUGAAAUUCGUAGAUAUUGGGAAGAACACCGAUGGCGAAGGCAGCCAUCUGGACCGACACUGACGCUGAGGCGCGAAAGCGUGGGGAGCAAACAGG